UGCAAGUCGAACGAUGAUCCCAGCUUGCUGGGGGAUUAGUGGCGAACGGGUGAGUAACACGUGAGUAACCUGCCCUUGACUCUGGGAUAAGCCUGGGAAACUGGGUCUAAUACCGGAUACGACCAUCUGGCGCAUGUCAUGGUGGUGGAAAGCUUUUGUGGUUUUGGAUGGACUCGCGGCCUAUCAGCUUGUUGGUGGGGUAAUGGCCUACCAAGGCGACGACGGGUAGCCGGCCUGAGAGGGUGACCGGCCACACUGGGACUGAGACACGGCCCAGACUCCUACGGGAGGCAGCAGUGGGGAAUAUUGCACAAUGGGCGCAAGCCUGAUGCAGCGACGCCGCGUGAGGGAUGACGGCCUUCGGGUUGUAAACCUCUUUCAGUAGGGAAGAAGCGUAAGUGACGGUACCUGCAGAAGAAGCGCCGGCUAACUACGUGCCAGCAGCCGCGGUAAUACGUAGGGCGCAAGCGUUAUCCGGAAUUAUUGGGCGUAAAGAGCUCGUAGGCGGUUUGUCGCGUCUGCUGUGAAAGACCGGGGCUCAACUCCGGUUCUGCAGUGGGUACGGGCAGACUAGAGUGCAGUAGGGGAGACUGGAAUUCCUGGUGUAGCGGUGAAAUGCGCAGAUAUCAGGAGGAACACCGAUGGCGAAGGCAGGUCUCUGGGCUGUAACUGACGCUGAGGAGCGAAAGCAUGGGGAGCGAACAGGAUUAGAUACCCUGGUAGAAGGGC
rnacentral:rRNA from 1 species